rnacentral:rRNA from 1 species
GACGAACGCUGGCGGCGUGCUUAACACAUGCAAGUCGAACGCUGAACCCGCGUCUGUGGGGGGUGAGUGGCGAACGGGUGAGUAACACGUGGGCAACCUGCCCCCGGCUCUGGGAUAACUCCAAUAAAGUGGGGCUAAUACCUGAUGUGACCGCUGUCCUCAUGGUCUGUUGGUGGAGAGGAUUUCCGGCUGGGGAUGGGCCCGCGGCCUAUCAGCUUGUUGGUGGGGUAGUGGCCUACCAAGGCGACGACGGGUAGCCGGCCUGAGAGGGUGACCGGCCACACUGGGACUGAGACACGGCCCAGACUCCUACGGGAGGCAGCAGUGGGGAAUAUUGCGCAAUGGGCGGAAGCCUGACGCAGCGACGCCGCGUGGGGGAUGACGGCCUUCGGGUUGUAAACCUCUUUCGGCAGGGACGAAGCGUAAGUGACGGUAACUGCAGAAGAAGCACCGGCCAACUACGUG